rnacentral:lncRNA from 1 species
ACAUCAGUUCUGCUCUGCUCUGCUCUGUUCUGUUCAGUUCUGUUCUGUUCUGUUCUGCUCUAUUCUAUUCUAAUCUAUUUAUUCUGCUCUGCUCUGCUCUGCUCUGCUCUGUUCUGUUCUGUUCUGUUCUGUUCUAUUCUAUUCUAUUCUAUUCUAUUUAUUCUAUUCUGCUCUGCUCUGUUCUGUUCUGUUCUGUUCUGCUCUGCUCUGUUCUGUUCAGUUCUGUUCUGUUCUGCUCUAUUCUAUUCUAAUCUAUUUAUUCUGCUCUGCUCUGCUCUGCUCUGCUCUGUUCUGUUCUGUUCUGUUCUGUUCUAUUCUAUUCUAUUCUAUUCUAUUUAUUCUAUUCUGCUCUGCUCUUUUCUGUUCUGUUCUGUUCUGCUCUAUUCUAUUCUAAUCUAUUUAUUCUGCUCUGCUCUGCUCUGCUCUGUUCUGUUCUGUUCUGUUCUAUUCUAUUCUAUUCUAUUUAUUCUAUUCUGCUUUGCUCUUUUCUGCUCUGUUCUGUUCUGUUCUGUUCUGUUCUAUUCUAUUCUAUUCUAUUUAUUCUAUUCUGCUCUGCUCUUUUCUGCUCUGCUCUGUUCUGCUCUGUUCUGCUCUGCUCUGUUCUGCUCUGCUCUGCUCUGCUCUGCUCUGUUCUGUUCAGUUCUGUUCUGUUCUGCUCUAUUCUAUUCUAAUCUAUUUAUUCUGCUCUGCUCUGCUCUGCUCUGUUCUGUUCUGUUCUAUUCUAUUAUAUUUAUUAUAUUCUGCUCUGCUCUUUUCUGCUCAGUUCUGUUCUGCAACAGUUCAGCCACAGCAGUAAUAUUCAUACUUUUGUUAAACAUUUCAAACUAUAUUUUUGAUGUCAUAAAAAAACACAUACAAAAAAAAACAGAUAUCACAAUACCCCAUACUGACAUCACAAUACCCCAUACUGAUAUCACAAUACCCAAUACUGACAUCACAAUACCCCAUACUGACAUCACAAUACCCCAUACUGACAUCACAAUACCCAAUACUGACAUCACAAUACCCCAUACUGACAUCACAAUACCCCAUAAUGACAUCACAAUACCCCAUACUGACAUCACAAUACCCCAUACUGAUAUCACAAUACCCAAUACUGACAUAACAAUACCCCAUACUGACAUCACAAUACCCAAUACUGACAUCACAAUACCCCAUACUGACAUCACAAUACCCAAUACUGACAUCACAAUACCCCAUACUGACAUCACAAUACCCCAUAAUGAUAAAGUAAAACACGUUUUUAGAAUUUGUUUUGCACAUCUAUUGAAAAUAAAAAAACUGAAAUAUCUAGUUUACAUAAGUAUUCACAUGUACUGUAGGCGUGUGUGA